UGAAAGGGAUACUUCUUCGGACAAUAUACAAGGUGCUGCAUGGUUGUCGUCAGCUCGUGCCGUGAGGUGUCGGGUUAAGUCCCAUACGAGCGCAACCCCUAUCAUUAGUUGCCAUCAGGUCAAGCUGGGGACUCUAAUGAAACUGCCUACGCAAGUAGUGAGGAAGGUGGGGAUGACGUCAAAUCAGCACGGCCCUUACGUCCAGGGCUACACACGUACUACAAUGGCCGAUACAAAGGGCAGCGACACUGCGAGGUGAAGCCAAUCCCGUAAAAUCGGUCUCAGUCCGGAUUGGAGUCUGCAACUCGACUCCAUGAAGUUGGAAUCGCUAGUAAUCGUGGAUCAGCAUGCCACGGUGAAUACGUUCCCGGGCCUU
rnacentral:rRNA from 1 species